rnacentral:rRNA from 1 species
UACGAAGGGGGCGAGCGUUGUUCGGAUUUACUGGGCGUAAAGGGCGCGCAGGCGGCGUAUCAAGUCAGGCGUGAAAGCCCCGGGCUUAACCUGGGAGGUGCGUCUGGGACUGGUAUGCUAGAGUUCGGGAGAGGAGAGUGGAAUUCCCAGUGUAGAGGUGAAAUUCGUAGAUAUUGGGAAGAACACCAGUGGCGAAGGCGGCUACCUGGCUUGGAACUGACGCUCAGGUGCGAAAGCGUGGGGAGCGAACAGG